GAAAGAUGGCCUCGCGUCUGAUUAGCUAGUUGGCGGGGUAACGGCCCACCAAGGCGACGAUCAGUAGCCGGUCUGAGAGGAUGAACGGCCACAUUGGGACUGAGAUACGGCCCAGACUCCUACGGGAGGCAGCAGUGGGGAAUAUUGGGCAAUGGGGGAAACCCUGACCCAGCAACGCCGCGUGAAGGAAGAAGGCCCUCGGGUUGUAAACUUCUUUUACCAGGGACGAAGGACGUGACGGUACCUGGAGAAAAAGCAACGGCUAACUACGUGCCAGCAGCCGCGGUAAUACGUAGGUUGCAAGCGUUGUCCGGAUUUACUGGGUGUAAAGGGCGUGUAGGCGGAGAUGCAAGUUGGAAGUGAAAUCCCGGGGCUCAACCCCGGAACUGCUUUCAAAACUGUAUCCCUUGAGUAUCGGAGAGGCAAGCGGAAUUCCUAGUGUAGCGGUGAAAUGCGUAGAUAUUAGGAGGAACACCAGUGGCGAAGGCGGCUUGCUGGACGACAACUGACGCUGAGGCGCGAAAGCGUGGGGAGCAAACAGGAUUAGAUACCCUGGUAGUCCACGCUGUAAACGAUGAAUACUAGGUGUGGGAGGACUGACCCCUUCCGUGCCGCAGUUAACACAAUAAGUAUUCCACCUGGGGAGUA
rnacentral:rRNA from 1 species